AUUUCCUCCAGUGAUUUCAGCUCACGAGCGCCUCCCUGUGGUCUGAUUUUGUCAGGAAGUUGUACUCAGCAGUAGCAGGUCAGGAGUGCUCAACCACUCAUUUGGGCUGUCUUAAGUAAACACUAACAGACAAAGGAGACCAAAGGAAGGUAGCAUACACAGGCUACGAAACACGGCAGAGAUGAGGGAUUUCAAGGACGUGUGGACUUCAAUUUAAUCGAAGAGGCGGAGAGUGGAGUGGAAGAGUGACACACAGAGGAGAGAAGUUCAUUAUUCUGCUGAAAAGGAGACCAAUGGCUUUCACAGUCGCCAUGGUAACUGGCCUUUCUUUUGCCGUCAGACCUAUGAUAAGUUUGAGUGACAGUCCCUUCACCUAAUGACUGAACGUAGGCGCUUCCACUGCCUCAGAUGGGCCCACAGAGAUGAUCGUCGGGGGUUGCAUCCCAGCGUGUGGUUUGACCGUCCAGAUGUUUAAAGGAAAUUCACCCAGCUCAGAAGGAGACUGCAAAACUCCUGAGGAAAAAACUUUUCGCAGGUGGCCCAAAAAGUGCUCAUGAAAAUAUUUAAGGCCAUCUGUUUAAAAAAAACCUAACUUUUUUGUUGGCAAAAUAUAUUUUGUGAAAUUGUAAUUAAAGCAACAUGACAUGUUUGGCAGCAG